GCCUCUGUGGUGUAGUGGUCAACACGUUCGACGUGAAUUCAAGAGGUCCGUGGUUCGAAUCUCGGCGAGGGCA
rnacentral:tRNA from 1 species